GAUUUUCCGGUACAUGACGUCAUUGCCUCAUGAGCGCGAAGAGGAAGCGUUGUACCCACGUUGCGUGACAAAGGCGGAACAACUAUUGAAAGUUCCUGGUGUAAAUCUGACUAUUUUUCAUUUUUUUCGAUUGAUAAUACUUCAUAAUGAGUUAUGGUCGAGGACCGCCCGACAUUGAGGGGAUGGCAUCCCUUAAAGUGGACAAUUUAACAUAUAGAACAACGCCGGAAGAUCUGCGGCGUGCCUUUGAAAAAUAUGGCGACGUUGGAGAUGUGUACAUUCCCCGCGACAGAUUUACUCGUGAAAGUAGAGGAUUUGCAUUCGUACGAUACUAUGACAAACGUGAUGCUGAAGAUGCACUGGAUAGUAUGGAUGGCGCUAUAAUGGAUGGUAGGGAACUGCGAGUCCAGAUGGCAAGAUACGGUCGUCCAAACGAGUCCCACCGGAGUAGAGCACCACCACGCCGAAGCUAUGGGUAUGGACGUUCUAGACGAUCAAGGUCACGGUCCAGGUCUAGAUCAAGAGGAAGGAGAUCACGGUCACGAUCAAGGAGGAGGCGUAGUAGGUCACGAUCUCGCAGUCAUUCCAGGUCAAGGAGCUAUAGUCGCAGCCAUAGCAGGAGCAAGAGCGCAAGCCGCAGCAGAAGUAGAUCGAGGGACGUCUCUAAAUCUCCUUCAAGGUCACCAGGUCAUAGAAAUCAUGAUGACGAUUGUGGUGACGACUGAACUAUCAGCCUUGAAAUCAUCAGCAAAUCAAAGAAUGAUGACAGACAUUCUGCAUAGCAUAUCCUGUCCAAGUUGAUUGGCUGAGAACAUACUAUCAUUCAAGCUGAUCAUGUGACAGUGAAAGGAGCAGUAAGGUGUUAGUUAUGCUGUGUGCUGAAUACAGCUGAGAAAGAGGGGCUUGCAGAGUGUACUGCCAGGGGUUCGAAAUCCUGCCGUAGCAGUUGCUGUAUUUGCUCUGCAGUCCGGAGUGUUGCUGGUCAUGCUCGGGUGGCAGAUCCUGUUAGCUGUUUCUUCUUGCCUCAAGAAUUUUUUAAAAAUCAAAACAUAAAAAAAAAUCUUUAACAACAGCACAAAAAUAUUGAAACAGAUAUAAUGAAAAGAAAAGAAAACUUUCACAGUAUCGUAUCUAAAUCACAAAGAUGAAAAAAGAAAUUAGCUUACAUUAAUGAAAAGAAAUGUAACCAUCAUCAACCAGAACACGUGUUUAUAGUUGAAUGUUGUGGUCCUCGUUUAUUUUCUUGUAGAAAAGAAUGCAUAACUGGAAAUAAAAUGGCAAAGAGUAAUUAA